GACGAACGCUGGCGGCGUGCUUAACACAUGCAAGUCGAACGAAGAGCGAUGGAAGCUUGCUUCUAUCAAUCUUAGUGGCGAACGGGUGAGUAACGCGUAAUCAACCUGCCCUUCAGAGGGGGACAACAGUUGGAAACGACUGCUAAUACCGCAUACGAUCUAAUCUCGGCAUCGAGGAUAGAUGAAAGGUGGCCUCUACAUGUAAGCUAUCACUGAAGGAGGGGAUUGCGUCUGAUUAGCUAGUUGGAGGGGUAACGGCCCACCAAGGCGAUGAUCAGUAGCCGGUCUGAGAGGAUGGACGGCCACAUUGGGACUGAGACACGGCACAGACCCCUACGGGAGGCAGCAGUGGGGAAUCGUCCGCAAUGGACGAAAGUCUGACGGAGCAACGCCGAGUGAGUGAUGACGGCCUUCGGGUUGUAAAGCUCUGUUAAUCGGGACGAAAGGCCUUCUUGCGAAUAGUGAGAAGGAUUGACGGUACCGGAAUAGAAAGCCACGGCUAACUACGUG
rnacentral:rRNA from 1 species